rnacentral:rRNA from 1 species
UGACACGGGAAUUUAAUGUGCUUACCGGCUUUGCGUAGGCUUUGCAAGGUCUAAACAGCUUGGAGAAUAAGUGUUGGGUAAGACUGGUGCCAGCAGCCGCGGUAACCCCAGCGCCACGAGUGGGAGUCGCUUUUAUUGGGCCUAAAGCGUUGUAGCCCGUUUGUAAGUCUUUGUGAAAUUGUUAGGCCUAACCUAACAGCGUGCAAGAGAUACUGCAUUUCUAGAGACCGGGAGGAGUGUGAGGUAUUCCAUGGGGAACGGUAAAAUGUAAUAAUCCAUGGGGGACCACCAGUGGCGAAGGCGUCACACUAGAACGGAUCUGACGGUGAGGAACGAAGGCUAGGGGAGCAAAACGGAUUAGAUACCCGAGUAGUCCUGGCAGUAAACUCUGUGUGCUAGGUGUUGCAUUUUCUUGUGAACGUGCAGUAUCGAAGUGAAGACAUUAAGCACACCGCCUGGGUAGUACGGUCGCAAGGCUGAAACUUAAAGGAAUUGGCGGGGGAGCACUACAAGGGGUGCAGCGUGCGGUUCAAUCGAACUCUACGCCGAGAAUCUCACCAGGGGCGACUGCAGAAUGAAGAUCAAGCCGAUGACUUUAUCUGACGAGCAGAGAGGUAGUGCAUGGCCGUCGUCAGCUCGUGCCGCAAGGUGUCCUGUUAAGUCAGGCAACGAGCAAGAUCUGCGUCUACUAUUGCCAGCAGGAGGGUAACCUCGGCUGGGCACAUUGUAGAGACUGCCUUCGAAAGAAGGAGGAAGGUGCAGGCAACGAUAGGUCUGUAUGCUCCGAAUCUCCUGGGCUACACGCGCGCGACAUGGAUAGAACAUGGGCUGCACACCGAAAGGUGAAGCUAAUCCUCGAAAUCUAUUCUUAGUCUGGAUUGAGGAUUAAACUCAUCCUCAUGACACUGAAUCCCUAUAAACCCGA